CAUAAAAGUAAUUAAGCAUAUUACUUCAGAAAAUUCUGAUUGGAAUAAUUGCUUUAGAGUGAGUGAAGUGACUGAUUCAUAAUGUAAUCACAAUCAUAUCAGAGUUUCUUUUAGCCCAAAGCUGACAUGUACUUUUUAAUGAUACAGCACAAUUUUAUAAUUUAUAGCAAAUUAUUUCGCGGACCCCCUGACAGAAUGCCAUGGACCUUUGGGGGUCCCCGGGCCCUACUUUGAGAACCACCGGUAUAGAGCGUAUAAGCAUUACACUUACCUUUUUAGCAGGAUACUUUUUAACCUAAAUGGAAAUUAUGGGGCCCAUUAUAAUUUGUACAAAAAAAAUCGGGAGAAACUUUAUUAAAUUACUUUUAUUCUGAAAAUACAACUGGUUGUAGGUUAGUUUGACACGAGGUCACAGUUCUCCUGAUUUAGACUAAAUACUCCGUGCAUUAGCAGUCUCAUUGAUGUUUUCUCUGUGUUGUGAAACCUAUAAUUAGUCCACGUAUCGCCUUUUGACCCUUCUUCCAGCUUGUUACCCUUUCUUUCCCGUCCUCCCCUACGAGCCCCGGCGGUGCGGCGGUAACCCCAGUGUCGUCUCGCGGUGCUUCUGGGCUUCCGAGCCGGCUGCUCCUCAGACACCUGCAGGCUGCAGGCCGGCGACGGUCCACAGCGGGCGGCUUCCUGACCAGACUACACACGACAUAUGACAUGUAGUGGGGUCAUUUGUGUGGAACCAGGUGCAGAUUUCAACAUUUGAACUAUAGUGCAGUCAAAUGUUUAGACAGCCUCCAAGUCCUGACUUCCAACGAACUGCAGGAGCAGCGGACACCUCAACCCAAUUCAACAGGGCAAAUCCGGCCGGAGAGACCAGAACAAUGCUAUCAGUGAGAAUGCUUUCAGCUGGACUCACCUGGCUGAAGGGCCUAGGCCAGGCCUGUGGAGGUUGAAGUGAGUGGACCUCAGAGGGCCUCAAACUAUUAAUUCCUGGCCUGGAACAGCAGCUUGGGCUCUCGCUGCAAAAAUGUAGUCUGGUUGUGCAGAGCAGAAACAGGAAGUGUGAAUCAGCUUAAAUACUGCGAAAGAGAGCCGUCUGCUUGACCAAAUAAGAAGAGUAAACAGCAGUCAGUCCGCUGGGAUCUCUGCUGCUGCUGCUUUCAAUGAAAAGCAGAUGAUGACUGAAGAUCCGUUGAAAUGUCAACAUACCCAAAACAAGAAAACAAACUUUGUAGUUCAACCCUUGGACAAUGAGUAACGAGAUGCAUCAUUCCAUCACAUUUUGUGAAUACACAAUAAAUAGCAUACAA